UCUCUUUUGCAGGACAGCAGUAGCGGGAAAGACAAAAUGGGCCUGGUUGUGCAUCAAAGGCAGCGAGGAAGAGUGCGCCUAAUGCGGUGGCAUUCAAAGCCUCUGCCCAGGCUUGCACAGACUUCAUUGUGUUGCAGUUCCCUGAUCUGAGCAUCCCGGCUUUUCAACGAGAACUACACGCAGGACUGUCCUGGACAAUGGCUUGGCCUGGGUUUCCAUAGCAGCAGUAAAUCUCAAAUGAGGCAGGGCAGGAAUGAAGUGAAGUUGGACCUGUUUUGUACUUGGCUGUCCAAUGGACCUGUGAUGCAGGUGCAAUCCAGACCAGCUGUAUGAGCAGCCUCUUCAGUGUGUGCAAAGACUACCUGUGAUGCUGAUUUGAGUCUGGAGUGCCAGCUUGACCUUGCUACUGAAGCAUGGUCCAUAUGGUGUUUCUUCCCAAUCUACAAGAAGGAUUUGUGUGAGGCUAGAUCUAGAGGAGUUUGCUUUCUGAGGCCUGCUGGAAUCAACCUAGUGUGUAGAGACGCUGUUCAACAGUCAAACGUGGAGCCAGAAGGAUGAGGAUGAAAGCUUGAUUGGGAAGAUCCCCACCAUGCUUUAUGCAGACUGGGAAUGUGAAAUACUGUAGAAAAUUGAGUCCAGAUUUAUUUUUUUUCCUUCUCUGGGUUUGACUUCUGUUUAUAAUAAAGUACAUUUUGACUUAA